rnacentral:rRNA from 1 species
UGGGGAAUCUUGCGCAAUGGGGGGAACCCUGACGCAGCGACGCCGCGUGCGGGACGGAGGCCUUCGGGUCGUAAACCGCUUUCAGCAGGGAAGAGUCAAGACUGUACCUGCAGAAGAAGCCCCGGCUAACUACGUGCCAGCAGCCGCGGUAAUACGUAGGGGGCUAGCGUUAUCCGGAUUCAUUGGGCGUAAAGCGCGCGUAGGCGGCCCGGCAGGCCGGGGGUCGAAGCGGGGGGCUCAACCCCCCGAAGCCCCCGGAACCUCCGCGGCUUGGGUCCGGUAGGGGAGGGUGGAACACCCGGUGUAGCGGUGGAAUGCGCAGAUAUCGGGUGGAACACCGGUGGCGAAGGCGGCCCUCUGGGCCGAGACCGACGCUGAGGCGCGAAAGCUGGGGGAGCGAACAGG